UCGGCACCGGGCGCCUCGGCCAGCGCGCGCGCCCACAGCGCGCGCGCAGCCGCCGCCGCGCGGCCCGGCUGGGCCGCCGCCGGCAGCGCCUGG
rnacentral:tRNA from 1 species